rnacentral:rRNA from 1 species
UACGUAGGGUGCAAGCGUUGUCCGGAAUUAUUGGGCGUAAAGAGCUCGUAGGCGGCUCGUCGCGUCGACCGUGAAAACCCGCGGCUUAACCGCGGGCUUGCGGUUGAUACGGGCGGGCUAGAGUUCGGUAGGGGAGACUGGAAUUCCUGGUGUAGCGGUGAAAUGCGCAGAUAUCAGGAGGAACACCGGUGGCGAAGGCGGGUCUCUGGGCCGAUACUGACGCUGAGGAGCGAAAGCGUGGGGAGCGAACAGG